UGCAUCGGCCGGGAAUCGAACCCUGGCGCCCGCGUGGCAGGCGAGCAUUCUACCACUGAACCACCGAUGC